GAUGAACGCUGGCGGCGUGCCUAAUACAUGCAAGUCGAGCGAACAGAUGAGGAGCUUGCUCCUCUGACGUUAGCGGCGGACGGGUGAGUAACACGUGGAUAACCUACCUAUAAGACUGGGAUAACUUCGGGAAACCGGAGCUAAUACCGGAUAAUAUAUUGAACCGCAUGGAUCAAUAGUGAAAGACGGCUUUGCUGUCACUUAUAGAUGGACCCGCGCCGCAUUAGCUAGUUGGUAAGGUAACGGCUAACCAAGGCAACGAUGCGUAGCCGACCUGAGAGGGGGUUCGGCCACACUGGAACUGAGACACGGUCCAGCCCCCUACGGGAGGCAGCAGUAGGGAAUCUGCCGCAAUGGGCGAAGGCCUGACGGGGCAACGCCGCGUGAGUGAUGAAGGUCUUCGGAUCGUAAAACCCUGUUAUUAGGGAAGAACAAAUGUGUAAGUAACUAUGCUCGUCUUGACGGAACCAAAGCAGAAGGCCACGGCUAAUUACGU
rnacentral:rRNA from 1 species